rnacentral:lncRNA from 12 species
CCAGUGUCAGGUUCUGCAACUUUCGUCUCAUCCUGACCUUUUCUGCGUUUUCGUGGGGCUGACACCAGGCAGACAGCUCAGAUGAGAAGAAUAAAUCCUCUGACUUCAAUAGAGCAACACCUUGCAGAUCUGCUACAGUAUGAGAAUCGAG